GUGCCAGCAGCCGCGGUAAUACGGAGGGUGCAAGCGUUAUCCGGAUUUACUGGGUUUAAAGGGUGUGUAGGCUGUUUUGUAAGUCCGAAGUGAAAUCUUUCCGCUUAACGGGAAACUUGCUUUGGAUACUAUAAAACUUGAAUGACGUGGAGGUAAGCGGAAUAGGUCAUGUAGCGGUGAAAUGCAUAGAGAUGACCUGGAACACCGAUAGCGAAGGCAGCUUACUACGCGUAUAUUGACGCUGAGGCACGAAAGCGUGGGUAGCGAACAGGAUUAGAUACCCUGGUAGUCCACGCCCUAAACGAUGAUUACUCGUCAUUGGCGAUAUACCGAUCAGUGACCAAGCGAAAGUGAUAAGUAAUCCACCUGGGAAGUACGUUCGCAAGAAUGAAACUCAAAUGAAUUGACGG
rnacentral:rRNA from 1 species